AACGCGCAGAACCUUACCAGCCCUUGACAUGUCCAGGACCGGUCGCAGAGACGUGACCUUCUCUUCGGAGCCUGGAGCACAGGUGCUGCAUGGCUGUCGUCAGCUCGUGUCGUGAGAUGUUGGGUUAAGUCCCGCAACGAGCGCAACCCCCGUCCUUAGUUGCUACCAUUUAGUUGAGCACUCUAAGGAGACUGCCGGUGAUAAGCCGCGAGGAAGGUGGGGAUGACGUCAAGUCCUCAUGGCCCUUACGGGCUGGGCUACACACGUGCUACAAUGGCGGUGACAAUGGGAAGCUAAGGGGCGACCCUUCGCAAAUCUCAAAAAGCCGUCUCAGUUCGGAUUGGGCUCUGCAACUCGAGCCCAUGAAGUUGGAAUCGCUAGUAAUCGUGGAUCAGCAUGCCACGGUGAAUACGUUCCCGGGCCUUGUACACACCG
rnacentral:rRNA from 1 species